rnacentral:rRNA from 1 species
UACGGAGGAUGCAAGCGUUAUCCGGAAUGAUUGGGCGUAAAGCGUCCGCAGGUGGCAAUGUAAGUCUGCUGUUAAAGAGUGAGGCUCAACCUCAUAAGAGCAGUGGAAACUACAUAGCUAGAGUGCGUUCGGGGCAAAGGGAAUUCCAGGUGUAGCGGUGAAAUGCGUAGAUAUCUGGAGGAAUACCGGUGGCGAAGGCGGCAUCCUGGACCGGCAUUGACGCUGAACGGCGAAAGCUAGGGGAGCAAACGGG